GUGACAUGGUAUGGAUUAUGAUAUAAAUAUGAUAUAAUAUGGACAUGGAUAAUUUGGAUAAAAUUAGAUAAAUUUUAGGUGAACUCUAUAGAAGUAUAUAACAAAGUCUCAUGAGUUCAGUUAUGAUAAGGGUUGUUCUGCGUAACUCGGUUACCGCCACCGCGGUAUAAUUAAAUAAUUAAACAAGUAAUAGCCGAUGGCGUAGUCCGACGCAUGGAACUUUACUUUCUAAGCUCGUUGGCGUGGUCAGUGCCCGCAGAUAUGGGAAUCCAUGUUGCCCCGGGGGCACCAGCACCGAGAUUGUUGCAAUCGCCAUCCUUGGCUAACGUAUCUGGAGCACUUGGCGAGUGUUGGCCACAGAAAAUCCGAUCACCGAGCUUAAUUUCGCGAUCAUCUGCCACCUGCAUUCUGGACAACUUACCUUUUUUGUCGGACCCUGUUUAGGCCAUUUAACACUUCUAAUUGCCACGAAAUCUCUGAUAGGCGAAGCUCUUAUUCAAUUAUCUUCAUUUGGAACGGGUGUGCGGUAAUAAAAGCGUGGCAUAUGAAACGAAUGAACUGGCCACCCGGUACGUUGCUACAAAAUGUCUAACGUCAAGAAAUACGAUCACCUAAGCAGCAAGAAAUCACAUUCUGCCAUUCGUUGAUCGGGGAACGAUCGAGGUACACGAGGACAAAUUCAGCAAUCUGGAGAACUGGAAAAUGCUCGCGGAAUGCAUUGGAAACCUAAACUUCGGCAUAACGAUUCAAACGUGUCAGUGUUAUGUAAUUUUUCUGCGGAAUUUUAUUUUAAACAGAAUCCUCCGCUCCAUAAAUAAUUUACUCUACGAUGCCGGAAUUAAGUAUAUAUUAAGUAAAAAGUUAGAGUGUAGCUAAUUGAAUAGGCUGACGAAUAUUUCAAUCAAAUUUUGCUACAUUUUGUAACUAAUAUGCCGCAAUUUGUAACGUUAGCCAAUAGUUGCUACAAGACUCACCACUCACGACGCUAAUAAACGGCACCUGCUCGAUCGAUCUAUGCAAAUCUGUUACAGUUCGAGUGAUUUACGCAGUGUAACCUUUAAUGUAACGUCUGUUCGCUUUUUCGAGCGUGUUACACGAGCUUGAUUACCGUUUAUUGUUCGAUUUCACCAGCGUUCCUUAAUUGUUACGGAGAGUUUUAGGAACGUUCACUUUGGCAAGAAGUUCCGAGUAAAUUGAUAUUUCACGUGUUCGGGGAGGUGCAAACUUCUAUUGCGCACCGCGAUCGAACUAUGAUUCAUGUUUUUCCAUCCUCGCAAGAACAUACUAUAAUUAAAAAGAAAAGGAGAUUACGUAUUGUAUAACCGUGUCAUUCGCUAAUUCAAGCUAUCAGAUUCACGUUUAAUGUUUUCAUUCUGAAGAUUGAUAGGUGAGAAAGGCAGGAAACGUUGGUAGAUCAGAUAAUCUGGAUGACCGAAACUUUUGACUUGAUUCGUGAUCCAAGUUCGCGAUUCUAUCUGAAAAUGUUGCUUAAUGCUUCCUUCAUGCCUUGGACUGCAACGAUGACCGGUGAAUCACGGGAAGAUUUCGAAUUUCUGCUCGUUCGACGAAGCGUGAACUUGGCCCUUUUAUUGUGUUAUUAAUUUUAAUUUCUCCGAGUUUCAUUUUUGUGUCAAAAAUCUGCUUCACAUUUUCUCCUGACAAAUAAGUUAUUACUUAAUCGAAACAUCUUUCGGAUGACUGUCGGUUUUCUCCGGCUGAUCGAUCAUCAGCGAUGGUCGUCGACCUGGUUGCGGAAGAUUUCUGGAUUUUUAUCCGAAUAAAGGAAACCGUAAUGGAAAGAGACUCAGGUAAAGCGCGUUACGUUAGUCUGGCUCAUUAGCAAGCGAUUGAACUCGAUUCAGACUGCGGUGAAUUCAUUUUCAAGUUACUUUGUUCGCGGCGUUUACAAAUGGAGAACGAUCGAUGGUUAAUGCUUGCCGAUCAGGAAGUGGGAGAUAAUGACGUCUCGGAUCGUUAAACGGAUAAUUUCUCAGGGAUUGAUGCAUUUACUCGAAUCCAUUUCCCUCGCUACAAAAUUAUAAAAUCAAAUAUUGUAAUCUCUCUAAUGGAGCUAAUUACAGACAUUCCAUCUUGCAGAUACGAUCUUCGGUUUUGCAAGAAGUCUCAGCAAGUUAACAUCCGUGCAGGGUUGGUUGUUUCUCGGUUGUACGCGAUCAGAAACAACGAGUGUAACACGCUCGGGAUUGCGCAAGCAAGUGGUGACUGGUCGACCGUUCCGGUAUAAUUGCCAAUCAGUCAAAAAAACCAUUCCUAGAUGGAUCACUAGAAGAAACCCUGAAAAAUUCGCGAGCUGAAUUCGUAUGAACUACGAAUUUACAGUUCUACGUCCUUAGGUCCAAAAUUUCUAUUACAUAGGACCUAGAAUCUUAGAGAAGUAAAAGCAGCAACCUAAGUUCUGGUAACUAAGAUUCUAGCUCACAGGUCCUAAAGUUCUCUCAGGUAUUAAAUCACAAGGUCCUACAUCUGUUCAGGAGCUGUUAAGAUAAUUCCUUUUUCGCUGGGACCUUAAACGAACGUUUGGAAUAACGAAUCUUCGCGAAGCAACGGGUCAAGAAGAUUGGCCAACGUACUCCCAUGUAAAGGGCGGCGGGUUUUCUCGAAAAGGAGAUCCUUCAGGCCAAAGGUAGCGAGAAAAGUCGCAUUACAGAAAUCGUGCCAAGGUGGAAACUUAGCGAAUUGUUGCAACCUUCGCUGAAGAUCAUCUAGGAGAACGUAGUCUCUUCGGACCAAUCAUCCCCUAUAUGAUAAAACGAUGCAAAAAAUGUGGUCCAUUAACGAGGAUUUAUUUCAUGUACAUACAUUUGUCGUAAUAUCGUUCGGAGUUUUUUUCUUCGAACCUCAUUUAUUAUCGACGGUGAACGUUAAUGAGAUCGAA